GUGCCCUUUCAAGGUUGACGCAGUGCCUUGAGAGGCCAACACAGAAGGGUAGAGGAAGCCUCCAUGAAACCCGGAGAGGGGCCGAACCUCCUCCCCGGAUCCUGUCUGGAGUCACAGCU
rnacentral:snoRNA from 1 species